GUCUCAUUUUUCAUUUCCUUGUUAUUUCAUUUCGUCGUUUUAUUUAUUGCUAAUGUGUAAUUUGCUAAAUUCACAAUCAUAUACGUGCCGGACAUAUGUAUGCCUCAUUUAAUAUGCAGUACUGAGCUCCGAUGUGAAGGAUCGGGAAUGCCAUCGUCAGAAUUAACAGUUUAAAAUCGUGUGGAGCUUGAUAUUAACAAAUGCCACUAAAGCAGAAUUUAAUCCUUCAAACUACCGCUUUCAUCAGUAUCAGUUCAGCUCAUGAUUGCUGAUGUCGAGCUGGUCUCCGUAAUUGGAUUACGAAGGAGCCUCAUUGCCUCAUCACCGCUGCUUUCCGAGUCAACAAAUCCCUGGAUCUUGUCGAUGACAUCGAGUGAACUAAGGGUUACAAGAUUACAUCCUUGAUUAAGCAGUAAUGAAGGAUCAUUUGUGGACGCUACGAAGGACAGGAAACAUUAAAUAAAAGUAUGUGAACCGGUGAGAAAGGAAACGGAAAUGACAUCUCCAUGUAAGGCUUCCAAGGAUAGUCGGCUUGUAUAUUUUAAAGUAGUAAUAGUUCGCUGAUUGAUUUAGUCGAAGACUGUGUGAAAUAUUAAUGAUUCAACACGGAUGCUUCAAGGACCCUGUCGCUUAAUUGGGCGGAUUGGGAAACUCAAGAGUUGAGACAGGAAGGGAUGGCUUGCUUAAAACUUCUCGAACACCGCUAGAGGAGGCUUAUUAGCUGAAAUUACUUCCUCAGUGCACCUACCACCGGAUCGGAAUCGCGACCCACUGAGAAGAUCCGGUGAGAAACUCUCCGGGCUGAUGCUACUACGGCUUGCGCUAAACUAUGAUCUUUGUACAAUACAAAAAAGUUACUGAUGUUGUAUAUACUUACAUUUGUUUUAGCAUAUAAAAUUAGCUGGUUUGGUUACGCUUUAUUCAUCUCUACUUUAAUGUACUCUGCAGAGGUUAAUUUUGUUUCCUGCACCACAUUUGUACAUAUUAUUUUUGUGACUAUGUAUAUUCUUUUGACUGCUCUAUAUGGGCAAAUUUGUUCACGCCCCACCAGAUGUUUAAUGGUUAUGCUGUUUACUGCUUCGAUUUUGGAUUAGGAUUCUUAAUUGCUCCAUUUAGUAGGUUUUCUACCAAAUGUACUCCACAAGACAGAUACUGUACAAAAUUAUACUCUACCAGACUGC